GUUCUGAAAUGGAAGAAGCUUCUUCCCAUGAGAAAGUUAACAAGUUCGUCAACAAAAUCAUGAGAUGCAACAUUACUAGUUCUGAACCCAAAACGGGCAGAUGCUUCGGUAAACAACCAAUGGCACUGGAUCAGACUGCUUGCCUUUUAAAAAAUAGAGAGUCUUCUUUCAGUGAAACAGUGAGGAAGACUCAAGACAUAAGUCUUUCCAAUUGUUGGAUUCGUAGAUGGUGUCAUGAUGGAGUUGUAUCUCGAACACAGAAUCGUGAAGCAGUGACACUUUGUGAGCCACGAAGUUCAAAAGCAACAUUUGAUGAACUUCAAAAGAAGCAGUUUCCUAGCAUAGGUGCUAUGGCUCUGAUGGGGAAGGCCCUGAACACUUUUCAACCAUGUGAAUUUAGGAAAGAGGGGUCAUAUAUUGUUUGGAAAACUUAGGGAUUCUGAGACGAUUCUACACAGAUUUUGCAGGGAACAAACAGCAAGCUAAGCAGUCCAUAGGAUCAUUCUGGCAAUCAUGAUAUUGGAAUUGCUUUUGAAAGGGGAAAUGCUUUGGUCAUCAGUAACAACAGAAUCAGUGGAUGUGGAAUUUUCUUUAGCGAGAAUGUUCCCUUGAACAACCCAGUAAUGAUUGUAUAUUGGUUGGACAAUGAAGCUGCGUAUAUGGAUUAACUUAGUGGCAGCAAACAAGGGAUGGUCUGGAACUGUUGCGUCAUCAUUUUCACUGAGCUGAAAAUGGAGGAAGGCCCUAUGAGAGAAGAUUCGUAGGACAAACUUCCCCUUCAGCGAUUUUUUUUGUAAUAUUCCUCACUUAUAUAUGUUUGAUUUCAUACCACUUGAACCUCCUUUUACCUUUUAUUUUUUAUUUUUAUAUCUCUGCAUGUGUAAUCCUCUUCCUAAUGAAGCAUGUCGUACAAUAGUUGGCCAAGCAUUUUAUAUUCCUAGAAGGGUAAUACUACUACAUCCACAAUCUCUUCUUACAAAUUUUCUCUCACAAUCCCAACGUGACAGCUUAUAAUUGGCCAGUCGUAAUAUAUCAGGUAAGACUUAUUGCGAGUUGACCAAUUACGAAUUGUCAUGUCGGAGUUGUGUAAGAAAGUUUGUGAGAAGAGGUUUUGGGUGUAGCAUUUUCUUUUCUAGUGUCCACUAUGCUGCAUUAAUUGAUUGAAGAUUAAAGAUCUAACCACAAGUUGUGGCAUAAAGUGUUUUAUGUUCUCAUCCA